AACGAACGCUGGCGGCAUGCCUAACACAUGCGAGUCGAACGAGACCUUCGGGUCUAGUGGCGCACGGGUGCGUAACGCGUGGGAACCUGCCCUUAGGGUCGGAAUAACUCCCCGAAAGGGGUGCUAAUACCGGAUAAUGUCUUCGGACCAAAGAUUUAUCGCCUUUGGAUGGGCCCGCGUUGAAUUAGCUAGUUGGUAGGGUAAAAGCCUACCAAGGCGACGAUCCAUAGCUGGUCUGAGAGGAUGAUCAGCAACACUGGGACUGAGACACGGCCCAGACUCUUACGGGAGGCAGCAGUGGUGAAUAUUGGACACCGGGCGAAAGCCUGAUCCAGCAAGGCCGCGUGAGUGAUGAAGGCCUUAGGGUUGUAAAGCUCUUUUACCCGGGAUGAUAAGGACAGUACCGGGAGAAUAAGCUCCGGCUAACUCCUU
rnacentral:rRNA from 1 species